rnacentral:rRNA from 1 species
AACGAACGCUGGCGGCAGGCUUAACACAUGCAAGUCGAGCGCCCCGCAAGGGGAGCGGCAGACGGGUGAGUAACGCGUGGGAAUCUACCCAUCUCUACGGAAUAACGCAUGGAAACGUGUGCUAAUACCGUAUACGUCCUUCGGGAGAAAGAUUUAUCGGAGAUGGAUGAGCCCGCGUUGGAUUAGCUAGUUGGUGGGGUAAAGGCCUACCAAGGCGACGAUCCAUAGCUGGUCUGAGAGGAUGAUCAGCCACACUGGGACUGAGACACGGCCCAGACUCCUACGGGAGGCAGCAGUGGGGAAUAUUGGACAAUGGGCGCAAGCCUGAUCCAGCCAUGCCGCGUGAGUGAUGAAGGCCCUAGGGUUGUAAAGCUCUUUCACCGGUGAAGAUAAUGACGGUAACCGGAGAAGAAGCCCCGGCUAACUUCGUGCCAGCAGCCGCGGUAAUACGAAGGGGGCUAGCGUUGUU